rnacentral:rRNA from 1 species
ACCCGAUAGGUCAUGAUGCCUGGAAUGGUUUAUGACUCAAAUAAUUAAUUGCCGUAGGAUGGGACUGCGGCCUAUCAGUUUGUUGGUGAGGUAAUGGCCCACCAAGGCUAUUACAGGUACGGGCUCUGAGAGGAGUAGCCCGGAGAUGGGUACUGAGACACGGACCCAGGCCCUAUGGGGCGCAGCAGGCGAGAAAACUUUGCAAUGUGCGAAAGCACGACAAGGUUAAUCCGAGUGGUUUCUGCUAAAGGAACCUUUUGUUAGUCCUAGAAACACUAACGAAUAAGGGGUGGGCAAGUUCUGGUGUCAGCCGCCGCGGUAAAACCAGCACCUCAAGUGGUCAGGAUGAUUAUUGGGCCUAAAGCAUCCGUAGCCGGCUCUGUAAGUUUUCGGUUAAAUCUGUACGCUCAACGUACAGGCUGCCGGGAAUACUGCAGAGCUAGGGAGUGGGAGAGGUAGACGGUACUCGGGAGGAAGUGGUAAAAUGCUUUGAUCUCUCGAUGACCACCUGUGGCGAAGGCGGUCUACCAGAACACGUCCGACGGUGAGGGAUGAAAGCUGGGGGAGCAAACCGGAUUAGAUACCCGGGUAGUCCCAGCUGUAAACUAUGCAAACUCAGUGAUGCAUUGGCUUGUGGCCAAUGCAGUAUUGCAGGGAAGCCGUUAAGUUUGUCGCCUGGGAAGUACGUACGCAAGUAUGAUACUUAAGGAAUUU